GAUGAACGCUGGCGGCGUGCUUAACACAUGCAAGUCGAACGAACCUUCGGGUUAGUGGCGGACGGGUGAGUAACGCGUGAGAAUCUGCCCUCAGGAGGGGGAUAACGGUUGGAAACGACCGCUAAUACCCCAUAUGCCGCGAGGUGAAAUGAAUUUCGCCUGAGGAUGAGCUCGCGUCUGAUUAGCUAGUUGGUGGGGUAAAGGCUUACCAAGGCAUCGAUCAGUAGCUGGUCUGAGAGGAUGAUCAGCCACACUGGGACUGAGACACGGCCCAGACUCCUACGGGAGGCAGCAGUGGGGAAUUUUCCGCAAUGGGCGAAAGCCUGACGGAGCAACGCCGCGUGAGGGAUGAAGGCCUCUGGGCUGUAAACCUCUUUUAUCAAGGAAGAAGAUCUGACGGUACUUGAUGAAUAAGCCACGGCUAAUUCCGUGCCAGCCGCCGCGGUAAU
rnacentral:rRNA from 1 species